AGAUGGAGAAGGAGGGCAGGCAGCCCCUGCUGGAGGGUGCCCUGCUCCUCCCCUGCCUCUAAACCCCGGUGUCCCUGGGCAGGCAGCAACACCACAUCCACAUGGAUUUUAAUUCCCCCCAGGGAUGGGAACUCCAUCACUGCCCUGGGCAGCUGUGCCAGGGCUGGACAGCCCUUUGGAUGAAGAAAAGUUUCCAAAUAUCCAGAUGUGCCAAAAGAAGGAGAUUUGACAAGCCUGAUUUGGACAAACCUGAAUUAACUGCUGCUUGGUAAUCUAUGAAGCCACCCUCCUUUUUACUGGGACACUUGCUCAGGGCAUAGCCCCACUCUAAGUGCCCAGCCUGAAGUCCUCAUGGAACCAAAGACCUCGAGGAUCAUCGAGUCCAGCCGUGAAUUGUGUUGUGCAAAUGGUGAGCUCAGCCUCUGAAGAACAGUCAGCUGGCAGGAAGGGAUGUGCUUUCCCAUUAAAAAUCUGGCUGGGGAUGUCCCUCCUGCUGUGCCUGCCCCUGUAGCAUGUCCCUGCUCCUCAGCUUUCUGAGAUGAGAUAAAAAUGAAUUUUCUGGAAAA